rnacentral:rRNA from 1 species
GACGAACGCUGGCGGCGUGCUUAACACAUGCAAGUCGAACGGAAAGGCCCUGCUUUUGUGGGGUGCUCGAGUGGCGAACGGGUGAGUAACACGUGAGUAACCUGCCCUUGACUUUGGGAUAACUUCAGGAAACUGGGGCUAAUACCGGAUAGGAGCUCCUGCUGCAUGGUGGGGGUUGGAAAGUUUCGGCGGUUGGGGAUGGACUCGCGGCUUAUCAGCUUGUUGGUGGGGUAGUGGCUUACCAAGGCUUUGACGGGUAGCCGGCCUGGGAGGGUGACCGGCCACAUUGGGACUGAGAUACGGCCCAGACUCCUACGGGAGGCAGCAGUGGGGAAUAUUGCACAAUGGGCGGAAGCCUGAUGCGGCAACGCCGCGUGCGGGAUAACGGCCUUCGGGUUGUAAACCGCUUUCGCCUGUGACGAGGCGUGAGUGACGGUAAUGGGUAAAGAAGCACCGGCUAACUACGUG